rnacentral:snRNA from 1 species
AUCCUUAAGGGCUCAAGAAACGUGUUGCUUGAUCAUGAAGACGGCUUUUCCAGGUUGAGGCUCACUCAUUGCGCUCUGGGUGUGCUGACCUAUGUGAUUUCCCCAUAUGUGGGAAACUCAACUGCAUAAUUUGUAGUACC